UACGGAGGGGGCUAGCGUUGUUCGGAAUUACUGGGCGUAAAGCGCACGUAGGCGGCUUUGUAAGUUAGAGGUGAAAGCCCGGGGCUCAACCCCGGAACUGCCUUUAAGACUGCAUCGCUUGAAUCCAGGAGAGGUGAGUGGAAUUCCGAGUGUAGAGGUGAAAUUCGUAGAUAUUCGGAAGAACACCAGUGGCGAAGGCGGCUCACUGGACUGGUAUUGACGCUGAGGUGCGAAAGCGUGGGGAGCAAACAGG
rnacentral:rRNA from 1 species